GGUCUAGUUCUAUGUGGAAGACUAGUGAUUUUGUUGUUUUUAGAUAACUGACAACAAAUCACAGUCUGCCAUAUGGCACAGACU
rnacentral:pre_miRNA from 1 species